UUUUCCGGUCUGCGGUUUUUGGUCAAUUCCAGUGAUUAGUUCGCAUAAUUUGUCAGGUCAAAUAAAAAUGACAGUUGCGAUGUAUUUUGAAUUACUCUGAGAUCAGCAUCAUCUGAGUCUUUGUCAGGUGUGGUCGGAUUUCUCGACCUGAUAGAACAUGGAUCUCGAACCCUUGAGAGGGUGUGCGACUUUCUGGGGGGUUUUUAGGCUUCUUUUCGGACAAUUUUUGCAUUUUGGUGAAACGGUGGGUAGAAAGGAAUGUUUAAUUUUGAGGAGCCGGGAGGUAUUUCUGCUCUGUUAGAAGCAAAGCUUGACGUUUGCUAAUGAGCGCUUGAUGUUCCAUUAGCACAAUUGGCAAAAUUCUGUGGCUGGACGGAACCAAAAUUGAAUUAUGUGGGAAGAACACGCAAAACCACGUGUGGAGGAUAAAUGGUACAGCGCACCAACAUUAAAACCUUUUCCCAGCUCUGCAGGAUCGUGGAAGAAGCAUCGUGGUAUGGGUGAGCUUUGCUUUCUCAGGGCCUGGACAGCAUAGCCGAGUGUUAUCAUUAAAAAAAAAAAAAAGAA